GCCUGGCUGGCUCAUUUGGAAGAACAUGUGACUCUUGAUCUCAAGGUCAUGGGGCUCAAGCCCCAUGUUGGGCA
rnacentral:tRNA from 1 species